AGCCUAAAAGUUGCGUAGGUUAGAGAGCAGAGGUUGUCGUCUGUCGAACCAAAAAAAGAAAAAGAAAAGAAAAGAAAUCUAUCUUCCUGGCUGCAGCCUCCAGUGUUGGAUCUCAUCCACUCUCUCUCAAUCGGGUCAGGAUGGGGAUCGAAUUUCGUUACUACGGAAGAACUAUUGACCAACAAAGGAGGAUGAAAUUCAACAUGCUAUGACUCCUUGGCCACUAUGAAGGACUAACUCAAACCAUGAUUCCUAGUUCAUAGCUUUCCAGUUGGUGUGAUAAAAUUACCACCACUGGUUUUUCUGGACUUGUGCAGAAUUGCCAUUCACUAGAGACACUAAGAUGCAGGUUGACAGCAAGAGCAUCAUCCUGGGCAGCAGCAGUGUUUUCCUCAGCAGCAAUAGUAACGUUCCCACUUGUUUGACCUGCUCAAACAAGUGCACACAUUAACAGGACUAUUUUUCUUAAAUUAAAAAAUAAAUUGAUUUAUUGCAUGAGUAGGAUAUUUAAACCUUUUGCUUCAGCAAUGUGUCUUGUUAUUCCCUUUGAAUUACCUAUUAGUGAUAAUUUUAAUGGUUAGAGAUUCUUUAUAAUGGAUGUCAAUCUUAGAAUUUAA